rnacentral:rRNA from 1 species
CCUACGGGAUGCAGCAGUGAGGAAUAUUGGUCAAUGGGCGCGAGCCUGAACCAGCCCAGUAGCGUGAAGGAUGACUGCCCUACGGGUUGUACACUUCUCUUAUAAAGGAAUAAAGUGAGGCACGUGUGCCUUUUUGUCUGUACUUUAUGAAUAAGGAUCGGCUAAAUCCGUGCCAGCAGCCGCGGUAAUACGGAGGAGCCGAGCGUUAUCCCGAUUUAUUGAGUUUAAAGGGAGCGUAGAUGGGUUGUUAAGUCAGUUGUGAAAGUUUGCGGCUCAACCGUAAAAUUGCAAUUGAUACUGGCAGUCUUGAGUACAGUUGAGGUAGGCGGAAUUCGUGGUGUAGCGGUGAAAUGCUUAGAUAUCACGAAGAACUCCGAUUGCGAAGGCAGCUUACUAAACUGCCACUGACAUUGAUGCUCGAAAGUGUGGGUAUCAAACAGGAUUAGAUACCCUUGUAGUC